UGGGGAAUAUUGCACAAUGGGCGCAAGCCUGAUGCAGCCAUGCCGCGUGUGUGAAGAAGGCCUUCGGGUUGUAAAGCACUUUCAGCGGGGAGGAAGGCGAUAAGGUUAAUAACCUUGUCGAUUGACGUUACCCGCAGAAGAAGCACCGGCUAACUCCGUGCCAGCAGCCGCGGUAAUACGGAGGGUGCAAGCGUUAAUCGGAAUUACUGGGCGUAAAGCGCACGCAGGCGGUCUGUCAAGUCGGAUGUGAAAUCCCCGGGCUCAACCUGGGAACUGCAUUCGAAACUGGCAGGCUAGAGUCUUGUAGAGGGGGGUAGAAUUCCAGGUGUAGCGGUGAAAUGCGUAGAGAUCUGGAGGAAUACCGGUGGCGAAGGCGGCCCCCUGGACAAAGACUGACGCUCAGGUGCGAAGGCGUGGGGAGCAAACAGG
rnacentral:rRNA from 1 species